rnacentral:lncRNA from 1 species
CACAACCAGAGUCUCCAUGUGGUAGAAAACCCUAUGGCCCAUCUUUUCUUCAUACUAAAUAAGUCAGUGACCACUUAUUUCAUUUUAUCCCACGUACUUCGCCUCUCAAGUGGGUAGUUUGCACUUUCGUGAUGUGAAGAGGCUAUAACCAUUCUGCAUGUAGUUUUUUGAAGAGCUUAUGCAAUCAAUAUAACCAUGUUGAUGGUAGAGAACUGAGCCACAGCGACCUCUCACCCGGCCAACAUGAGAAAGCUGACCUGUGCAGGAGGAGCAGCACCUCCCCCACGUAAGUGACCUGACCUGGGAUGGAGUAGGGGUGAAUCACCCCAAAAGGGAUCACAGCAUGGGGCAGCAGAAGCAAAGACUACUCAAUGGACCAGAGUCUGGCUGAUGACUACACCUGGGAUAUGAAGGGGGAACCAGAACCCACGGCUGUCGACACAAAGUCUAAUAGCCCAACUGAGCUCCCACUUUGUGGCCUAAGUCUAGCAGAGAAAGAGAACUGAUUGUGCUCCCCAUCUACUAACAGGAGCAAAAACAUUGUAACCUUGGCUUGAAAUUGUAACCACAGUCUGGCCAGGAGAGGAGUAACAGAUGGACCUCAGUCCCAGAACCCUAAAGCCUGGCAUGGAAAAUCAUGCCUGAGUGAAUACCAAGACUGUAGAUCAUAGACAGAAACUACUCAUUCAAUAACAAAGCAACAUUUUCUUGACUCAAUCCUUUUUCUCCCCUAUUUGGUAUUGUUUUUAUCUUUUCUUCAUCAGAUUUUUUUAAAGGUAUGGGGGUUUUUUCUCACUUUUUUGUCUUCAUUUUCAUUUUGCCUCUUAUUCUUCUGUCUUCUGACUUUUUCUCUUCAUUCUUCUUUUGUUUAUCUCUUAUUUUUGCUGUUUACCUUUUUUUUUCUUUUUGUUUGUUUUUUCUAGUGAAUAUUUUCUGUCACUAUUAUUUCCUUUUACUCCUUAAUAGGACCCUCUAUCUUAUUUUCUCUCUUCCUUCUCAUACCCCAUCUUGCUUUUUACAUUUCCCCCCUCUCUCCACCUUUAUUAGAAUAAGAACUAUGCUUUAUGAACCUCUAGGUAAAUAGUUAACUUUGCAUUAUUCCUCUUAAGUACUGUGCUAUUGUUAGAAGAAUAAAGUUGUCCCAUUUACUGUAGGUCCACAGCAGGACAAUAUUUGGUUUAUUUUGUGUUCAUACUGUAAUUCUACAACUCUUUCCUGUGGACAAAUCUGGUACAGUGUGGAGAACACUUUGAAAUAAGAUGAAAUUGUAUAACCCUAAGUGUGCUGUAACCCUAAAAGUGUGCUGUGACUUUAAGAGUGCUGUAGCC